rnacentral:lncRNA from 1 species
CAAGGUUCUAAAUUAUAAUUAAACAAAUUUUUGUUAUCGGAAGCUGGGAGUUCGUAUCCUCCAUUAAUCCAAAGAGUUAUUUUACUCGUCAAUUCUGCCGCACUUACGUAGUUACGCGGUAAGAAUAAUUUGUAAUGUUUGAAAAGAUUUUUGUACAAAAAAAUUAUAAAAAUUUUAAAAAUUCUCUAUAAUGUGUUAACUAACGCAUAUAAUAUAAUAGACUUUUAAUCCACCGUACUUUCAAUUAUCGUGUGACCGAAGUUUGCCGAUAUAUCAACAAUAUACAACAAGCAGCAUUUAUCAUCAUCUGUUACUUCUUCUUUCUUUUUCUUUUUCUUUUUUUUUCAAGUAGAAACUAAUCACGUAAAAUUAAUAUUUUUAAAAAAUA